rnacentral:tRNA from 1 species
GGAUUGUGGCUCAGAGGUAGAGCGCUCGCCUAGCAUGUGUGAGGCACUGGGUUCGAUUCUCAGCACCA